rnacentral:rRNA from 1 species
AUGCAAGUCGAACGAUGAAGCCCAGCUUGCUGGGUGGAAGAGUGGCGAACGGCUGUGUAACACGUGAGUAACCUGCCCCGAACUCUGGGAUAAGCGCUGGAAACGGCGUCUAAUACUGGAUAUGUCCCAUCACCGCAUGGUGUGUGGGUGGAAAGAUUUAUCGGUUCGGGAUGGACUCGCGGCCUAUCAGCUUGUUGGUGAGGUAAUGGCUCACCAAGGCGACGACGGGUAGCCGGCCUGAGAGGGUGACCGGCCACACUGGGACUGAGACACGGCCCAGACUCCUACGGGAGGCAGCAGUGGGGAAUAUUGCACAAUGGGCGCAAGCCUGAUGCAGCAACGCCGCGUGAGGGAUGACGGCCUUCGGGUUGUAAACCUCUUUUAGUAGGGAAGAAGCGAAAGUGACGGUACCUGCAGAAAAAGCACCGGCUAACUACGUGCCAGCAGCCGCGGUAAUACGUAGGGUGCAAGCGUUGUCCGGAAUUAUUGGGCGUAAAGAGCUCGUAGGCGGCUUGUCGCGUCUGCUGUGAAAACCCGAGGCUCAACCUCGGGCCUGCAGUGGGUACGGGCAAGCUAGAGUGCGGUAGGGGAGAUUGGAAUUCCUGGUGUAGCGGUGGAAUGCGCAGAUAUCAGGAGGAACACCGAUGGCGAAGGCAGAUCUCUGGGCCGUAACUGACGCUGAGGAGCGAAAGCAUGGGGAGCGAACAGGAUUAGAUACCCUGGUAGUCCAUGCCGUAAACGUUGGGAACUAGAUGUAGGGACUGUUCCACGGUUUCUGUGUCGUAGCUAACGCAUUAAGUUCCCCGCCUGGGGAGUACGGCCGCAAGGCUAAAACUCAAAGGAAUUGACGGGGGCCCGCACAAGCGGCGGAGCAUGCGGAUUAAUUCGAUGCAACGCGAAGAACCUUACCAAGGCUUGACAUAUACGAGAACGGGCCAGAAAUGGUCAACUCUUUGGACACUCGUAUACAGGUGGUGCAUGGUGUCGUCAGCUC